rnacentral:rRNA from 1 species
AGCCUGAACGCUGGCGGCGUGGCUAAGACAUGCAAGUCGCACGGGCGUAGCAAUACGUCAGUGGCGAACGGGUGAGUAAUGAAUCGCUAACGUGCCCCGGACUCUGGGAUAGCCAACCGAAAGGUUGGGUAAUACCAGAUGACAUAACCGAACCGCAUGGUUUGGUUCUCAAAGGUCCGCCGG